AAUGCAGCUGCUAUGUGUAUCAAAAUGAAGGCCCCAUUUGCAUCACUAAAAGACCAUCUUCUCUCAAGACAAGGCGCCAAGUAGCACGGCCUGACGAUGCUUACGCUGGCGGAGCAGCAAGGGCAAAAAGACAGCCUGCCACCCCACCCUGUCCAUCUUUCCCCAGGGACAGCAGAAGGAAUGGGCGUUUACAUGGCCAGGUUGGAUACAAAGACAUCCUAUAGCAACCAUACCUCCUAAGAACACUUGGCCACGCAGUUCUCACCAUUCAACAGUUCAGUCUCCUUUUGAGAAAAACAGGGGUAAAAACAGCAGAGCACAAUCACGAAACAGAACACUGGGCGUUCAAGCUUUUACACCUUCCAGCCUCAUUCUUCCACUUCCUGGUCCCUAGGAUUGGGUGACCUAAUAAAUCUUAAUCUGUAAAUAAAUGGUUUGCUCUACAAUUAAA